UCGGGUGGGUUGCCGAUGCACGUCGCUGACCCGAAGUGGCGGGCGGCAAAGUAAAGCGGCGCCGAGCAACGACGCCAGCAUCCCAGGCAUAGGGCCGGAGCCCAGCGCCCGAGUACCGGCGAGGUGCGGUCGACGCGGCCGCGCCGGUCCCGAGACUCGCACUCUUUCCCGCGCGCGCCCAAGACGGUGGGGCGAACCUAAGGUUCGCGCGGGACGUCCGACGACAAAGGACCGGCUCGCCACGUGUAAUGGAUCACGCAUUUAUUCCUCCGUCCCCGGCAGAAAGGGGCAUGACGGGUCGCGGGCCCGACAGAAGACCGACUCCGAUCCGAAGACCGAUUAGAUUCGACUUCAAUCUCGAGCGCGGUCGACCAACACGCGGACGGUCC
rnacentral:rRNA from 1 species